rnacentral:rRNA from 1 species
GACGAACGCUGGCGGCGUGCUUAACACAUGCAAGUCGAACGGAAAGACCCUGCUUUUGUGGGGUGCUCGAUUGGCGAACGGGUGAGUAACACGUGAGUAACCUGCCCUUGACUUUGGGAUAACUUCAGGAAACUGGGGCUAAUACCGGAUAGGAGCUCCUGCUGCAUGGUGGGGGUUGGAAAGUUUCGGCGGUUGGGGAUGGACUCGCGGCUUAUCAGCUUGUUGGUGGGGUAGUGGCUUACCAAGGCUUUGACGGGUAGCCGGCCUGAGAGGGUGACCGGCCACAUUGGGACUGAGAUACGGCCCAGACUCCUACGGGAGGCAGCAGUGGGGAAUAUUGCACAAUGGGCGGAAGCCUGAUGCAGCAACGCCGCGUGCGGGAUGACGGCCUUCGGGUUGUAAACCGCUUUCGCCUGUGACGAAGCGUGAGUGACGGUAAUGGGUAAAGAAGCACCGGCUAACUACGUG